rnacentral:rRNA from 1 species
UACGUAGGGGGCAAGCGUUGUCCGGAAUCAUUGGGCGUAAAGCGCGUGUAGGCGGUUCGGUAAGUCGGCUGUGAAAGUCCAGGGCUCAACCCUGGGAUGCCGGUCGAUACUGCCGGACUAGAGUUCGGAAGAGGAGAGUGGAAUUCCUGGUGUAGCGGUGAAAUGCGCAGAUAUCAGGAAGAACACCCGUGGCUAAGGCGGCUCUCUAGUACGGUACUGACGCUGAGACGCGAAAGCGUGGGGAGCGAACAGG